UAGGAAGAAUGCUACCAAACAACUGUAUGAUGGUUAUAAACCGGCCGUCUGCUCUUGUCAUCAGGCCUAAUUUCACUGGCGUCAUGUAUGGAUGAGCAGUCUGUCCUGCUCCACGAACGAGGGUGAUGUACAAUAGGCUAGAACAUUUUAAUAAGACGAACUCUUGGAAGACCUUUGGAGAUUGUGAAAUCACUCCCGAUUGUUUCCCAAGACCCCCUUCUCCCCGUAUGAAUUUUGUUUGCAACUCCACACUGAUGGCAUAAAGACGGAAUAUAUUUCACGGGUGUAUCUUGUGGUAGGAGACCAUGUAGAUGUUUGUUGUUCUUGGCAGUCUCUUCAUGGUAAAAGGAGGAUGAUUCCGAUUCAAAGGCCAGCGUAAGAUCUUGGUCGCUGAUCCUGGCGUAAAUGUCAAGUCUUAAGGGAGUACCCAAAUUCACCUUGGUCUAAUACAGGACGCGCAAUGGGCUAUAUAUAUUUCGACCAACAACAAAGCUCUUGGAUGGUUGAAGCUCAUCUUCUGUUCAUUACACCGGAUGAAGAAUGUCAAAAAUUCUAAUGUGAGCAGGCAACUUCAAGAGGGAAUUUAGACGUAAGAUUGAGCAUCGGGUACCUUCGAACUGGUGUUAUGUGAAUCGUCGGUUGAAGCUGAUUUGUUAAGAGCCUUCAAUCGGAUGAAAACCAGUAAGUCUGUGCGACGAGUAAAGGUUUCUAGCAGAUACACUACUUAGUAGUGCCUCUACUGGAGGAUACAGCAGCAGCGGAUGCGAAAUGAAAGGCGAAACCCAACCGCCGUAAAGGAAGAAAAAGUUUAAUAUCAGGCACCUAAGAAAUUAUCUACGUAGAAAAAAACUUGAGUAAAAAAGGAGGAUGCAGGUCUGAGUAGAGGAAGAGAAUUCGACAUAACAGGAGAAUCGUUGGAAGUGUCGAAGAAACUGAUGAAAAGGUUGCCGUAAAAGUAAUUUGAGAAAAGGUAGUCGUCGUAGAAGAAUUCUUUGAAGAUGAAAUUAAGGAAAAGUCGUCCAAGGCCCCGUCCACACCGUUGAGCUUUGUCCGAUGAGACGCCAAGAAGCAGAGAAACUGCAGGAAAAGUCAGAAUUUUGCCGCAUUUUCUCCGCUUCCGACGUCACAUCGAACAAAGUUCGUCGAGCAACGCUUGACCGUGUGGACGGGCCUUAAUAGAGUUCAAGGAAAAUGAUCUUACGAGGAGAGUUCCGAAAAUGAAAGAUGAGAACGUUGUCAUAGAAGUGAUUUUUUUUAAGUUUAUUGAAAUAUAAAGACGAUGAAAAUUAAAGGAGAUGGUUCUCCUCCACGUAGAUUU